AGGACCUGAGGGAACGGUGUGGAGCUGGGACAGGAGAGGGUCAGGCUGGGUGCUAGGGAAAGGUUCUGCACCCAGGGGGUGCUCAGGCACUGGGACAGGCUCCCCAGGGAAGUAGGCACCGCACCGAGCCUGCUGAAGUUAAAGGAACAUUUGGACAACGCUCAGAAAUAUUGUCUGAUUUUUUUCAAGUGGUCCUGUGUGGAGCCAGGGGUUGGACUCGAUGAUCCUUGUGGGUCCCUUCCAACUCAGGAUAUUCUGAUUCUAAAAACUAACUUCCCCCUUUGCUACUUUCACUGGGAAAUGCUCUCAGAGUUACUUUUCAACUUCCCUUUGAAAUGUGUUGGGAUAAAGGAGGGUUUGCUCACUGCUCUCAUGAGGAAAACAGUUGCUUAUUCUUGUUCUUCCCUGUUCUUCUGGCUUCGCCUUCCUUAGGAGAGUAACGUCUGCGGUCGUGCUAUCUACCCUGCUUUUUGGCAAUCAGCAGCGCAUCUCACAAAAUUCCAGUUAUUACGGAGGUGCUCUCAGUGGAGGAACAGAUGCUUUUCAUGACAGGACAGUGCUGCAAAACAGGGGAUUGUUCUGACAGCCGUCCAGGGAGUUGUUGCUAUUUCCUCUGUGUUAGAUCAAAGAAAGGACAGCCACAUCCUGAUCCUUGCAGUGUUUGGAAAGGGGAAAAGACGUGCACUGAAACAAGCCCAACACGCCGGAGGUCAGAGGCCAGCUGGCAUACAUGCACUCAGAUACUGUGUGAUCUGGGUGAAUGAUCCCAAACCUCUGCAGUGCAUCCUGCCAUGUCCAGCAGUGGAUGAGAGCUUCGGGGGCUGCAGCGCCCGCGACAGCCCCCGGCUGGGCAACUAAAUGCAUUUGCAGAACUAGCUGACUGCAAGAUUGGAAGAACCCGUGCCACAGGGUACAUGCUGCGGGGAGAAAACGGAGGAACAGAGCCUUCAUGUUGCAUACAUAAGCCAGUGAAGUAUCAUGCAAUAUCCAGUCGCUUUCAGAGCGUGCUAGUUUGGGUUGGUUCGUAAUGUUUGCGGGCAGAAGUUGUGAUUUAUCACUGUUAAAUAUUUGUAAGGUGCCUGGCGGUGUGGAAGGUAAUCGCUGCUUUACCUCAAAGUGAAAUACUUCACCAGGUAACUGCUUCCUAAGCCCCGGUGACUCCCAGACUUUGAGCUGACCGUCUCGAACGUUCCUCGUGCCUCUGCAGGAGAAAAGCUGGAAAUGAUUCGUCAGUGUUAAAAAUAUUAUUUGAAAUGAACCAGAUUAAACUAUCCCAUGCUUUACAACAA